rnacentral:miRNA from 1 species
GGGGCUUUUCCCCAGGAGGGAGAAGGGCAGCCCAUCACUGACGGGCUGCCCUUCUCCCUCCUGGGGAAAAGCCCCC